AGCGAACGCUGGCGGCAGGCCUCACACAUGCAAGUCGAACGAAGUCUUCGGACUUAGUGGCGGACGGGUGAGUAACACGUGGGAACGUGCCUUUAGGUUCGGAAUAACUCAGGGAAACUUGUGCUAAUACCGAAUGUGCCCUUCGGGGGAAAGAUUUAUCGCCUUUAGAGCGGCCCGCGUCUGAUUAGCUAGUUGGUGAGGUAAAGGCUCACCAAGGCGACGAUCAGGAGCUGGUCUGAGAGGAUGAUCAGCCACAUUGGGACUGAGACACGGCCCAAACUCCUACGGGAGGCAGCAGUGGGGAAUCUUGCGCAAUGGGCGAAAGCCUGACGCAGCCAUGCCGCGUGAAUGAUGAAGGUCUUAGGAUUGUAAAAUUCUUUCACCGGGGACGAUAAUGACGGUACCCGGAGAAGAAGCCCCGGCUAACUUCGUGCCAGCCGCCGCAGUAAAAC
rnacentral:rRNA from 1 species